CCCAGCCAGCGCCACCCCUGAGGCUUUCCAGCAGCGUGCGCGGUGCUUCGCUUUCCCCCAGACUUUUGCGUGGACCCACCCCACGGGUUUCUUGGAUGGGCACGCACCGCUUUGGGCUUUCGGAAGGGGCUAUCGCAGUUACGGGGGAAAGUCUGCGGCCAACUUUAGAACCCCCACCCCCCGCCAGUUUUGCUUCAGUUUCGCCAGCCAACCUGAACUCGGAGUUGCGGUCUGUAAGCGAAGCUGAACCUGCAACCUCUAGAGGGUUUUAGACGCAGAGGGGCGGGGAGGGCCUGGUUGCUGGGCUGGCUCAGGAGACCGCGCCUCAGAGGCCAAGAGCUCCCAAGCGACCGGAGGACCGCGGACCCGAAGGGGUAUUUCUGACGCCAACACCUGGUGCCGCGCUUUCGCUUUUUCCCGCCUGCAGUACUGCUGCGGACCCGAAGACGGUUUCUAACUGAAGCUGGAGAGAAAAUCAGGCCCGGUGGGUGUCGCAGGCUGGAGCGGACCCCUCCCACCCCCACCGGUAGGCGGGGAUGGGGGGUGUGGGUGGUGGCAGGGGAGUUGCAGAGCAAAGGGAGGAUUCAGUCCCAGGUCACUGCUCCUGGCCUAUACAGGUGCGACUGGUGUGAAAGGGAGCCGGCCCACUCCCUCACGAGGGCCAAGAAGUGCCACGAAGUUGUGAGACAUUCUGGAGGUUCGGAUUCUGGCGCAUUGAGACCGCAGGAAUUUCAGGUCUUCUCAUCCCCCCGCCCAUGCUUCUCAACACCACAUGCUUCGCACUUGUGAAUCCUGUCCAGUGGACACAGAUCUAUGUUGAAGGGGAAGCUAGUUUGAAGUUCCAGCCUCAACUCCACUCUGUUAUGAGCACCAACUGGAGAGAAUCACAUAAUAAAAUUUACAAACAGUCCUUUCCUGUGAUAUUU
ensembl:lncRNA